rnacentral:antisense_RNA from 1 species
GUUUACUGUGGGUUUGUCAUAUAUAGCCUUUGUUAUGUUGAGAAGUUUACGAAGACAAAAGAGGAAUGACGACUCAGCAUAUUGUAAUUAUCCAGUUGAUAUUUAUCUUGUUCCAGUCACCUUAAGAAAGCUGUUUGCUCUCAAAUCUCCAGGCAGCCUCUAUUGAUUGAUCUGAGUUGGCAGAUGAGUUGGCAGGCAAGGGCAGUGACUGGAAGCUGGGAGAGAGGGUCAAC